rnacentral:rRNA from 2 species
UUCCGGUUGAUCCUGCCGGACCUGACUGCUAUCGGAUUGAUACUAGGCCAUGCGAGUCAUUGUAGCAAUACAAGGCAUACGGCUCAGUAACGCGUAGUCAACCUACCCUAUGGACGGAAAUAACCUCGGGAAACUGAGAAUAAUAUCCGAUAGAACAUUAUGCCUGGAAUGGUUUAUGUUCCAAAUGAUUUAUCGCCGUAGGAUGGGACUGCGGCCUAUCAGUUUGUUGGUGAGGUAAUGGCCCACCAAGACUAUUACAGGUACGGGCUCUGAGAGGAGUAGCCCGGAGAUGUGUACUGAGACACGGACCCAGGCCCUAUGGGGCGCAGCAGGCGAGAAAACUUUGCAAUGUGCGAAAGCACGACAAGGUUAAUCCGAGUGAUUUCUGCUAAAGAAAUCUUUUGUUAGUCCUAGAAACACUAACGAAUAAGGGGUGGGCAAGUUCUGGUGUCAGCCGCCGCGGUAAAACCAGCACCUCAAGUGGUCAGGAUGAUUAUUGGGCCUAAAGCAUCCGUAGCCGGCUCUGUAAGUCCUCGGUUAAAUCUGUACGCUUAACGUACAGGCUGCCGGGAAUACUGCAUAGCUAGGGAGUGGGAGAGGUAGACGGUACUCGGUAGGAAGGGGUAAAAUCCUUUGAUCUAUUGAUGACCACCUGUGGCGAAGGCGGUCUACCAGAACACGUCCGACGGUGAGGGAUGAAAGCUGGGGGAGCAAACCGGAUUAGAUACCCGGGUAGUCCCAGCUGUAAACUAUGCAAACUCAGUGAUGCAUUGGCUUGUGGCCAAUGCAGUGCUGCAGGGAAGCCGUUAAGUUUGCCGCCUGGGAAGUACGUACGCAAGUAUGAAACUUAAAGGAAUUGGCGGGGGAGCACCACAAGGGGUGAAGYCUGCGGUUCAAUUGGAGUCAACGCCGG